rnacentral:rRNA from 1 species
GUCUUUUUGAAUUAAAUUUAAAGUCUAACCUGCCCACUGAAAUUUUUUAAAUGGCCGCAGUAUUCUAACUGUGCAAAGGUAGCAUAAUCAUUAGUCUUUUAAUUGAAGGCUGGAAUGAAUGGUUGGACGAAAUAUUAACUGUUUCAUUUAAAUUUUUAAUAGAAUUUUAUUUUUUAGUUAAAAAGCUAAAAUAAAUUUAAAAGACGAGAAGACCCUAUAAAUCUUUAUAUUUUAUUUAUUUUAAUUAUAAAGAUUAUUUUUAUUAUAAUAAGUUAAAAUAUUUUAUUGGGGUGAUAUUAAAAUUUAAAAAACUUUUAAUUUUUAAAACCAUUAAUUUAUGAAUAAUUGAUCCAUUAAUAAUGAUUAAAAAUUUAAGUUACUUUAGGGAUAACAGCGUAAUUUUUUUGGAGAGUUCAUAUCGAUAAAAAAGAUUGCGACCUCGAUGUUGGAUUAAGAUAUAAUUUUGGGUGUAGCCGUUCAAAUUUUAAGUCUGUUCGACUUUUAAAUUCUU